rnacentral:lncRNA from 1 species
CGCCCCAGUCUGGCCACCAGCGCUGGGCGAACCCGGCUGGGGUGUCACUCGACGCCCACUAGGGGCCGAGGAACUUCCAGUGCGCAGGCUCCGGGCACCGGAUAAAAGCGGAGCUGGCGGGUCCAGCGCCGUCUCGAUGGAGGAGCGAAACUGAAGAGUUCGGGGGGAGAAGCAACAGAAAACAUGCAGUCACUGCCAGCGCCGCCUCCCUGCCACCGUGUAUCGGGUGAUGUGGACCAUCUUUUGAGUAUUGUGAUACCUGAUUGCCCUUCUGGAGUGACCACAUGGGGAGGCCCUGGUGCUCUGUGGAGCAGGAGACAGACCCAGCUGAGUGAAGCUUUCUAGCUGUCCCCGCCAAGGAGCCUCAUGUCAGUGAAACCAUCUCAACCCUCCAGUACCACCCAGCCACCAACCAAAUGACACCAGAUGAUUCUAGUUGAUGCUACAUGGAGUAGAAGAAUCGUCCAGCGGAACCCUUUCCAAAUUGCUGACCCAAACAAUUGUGAAAUAAAAUAAAAAUGGUUAUUGUUUUAAACUGCUA